AACAAAAAAGUAAAGCGCCGGCUAGCCACGGAGUCCCAGGGCGGAGUACCCCCUAUGCCCCGCAGUCCGAACAAUCGAUUCCGACUCAUCGGACGUCUCACGUCGAUUUACCAUCUCUACCACAAAUCAAAACAAAACAAAGUUAUAUGUACAUCAAGCAAACUAAGACAAUUCGACGAAAUUGGUGGCUUCGAUGUCCUUGCCACGACGCACCCACCCAACCUUGGGUGCCCCAAGAAAGAUGUGGGAGGCACACCCCAUCUCCGGCAGACCGGAGUCUAUUCCUGGUGGAUUAGGAUCGGCUCAUCUCCCCGCCCAAGAAACUCUUAAGGCCGAUCUCAGACCGUCGCCCAGAUGAGAAGCGGUCAAAGCGGAAACAACCGAAAGGGAAAUUUUUAGACGCUUAAAGUUCCAAGUGUCAGGCAAAGUCGCCGCACGGCACUAAAUUGGAGGCGUUUGCCAACCGGGUCGCCUAAUCCUGAGGAGCUCCAAGGGAAAAAAAGGGACGUGCUGAUAAGGUAAGUACGCUAAACAAAUCCCACAAGUUAUUAAAUUUCGCGACCCAAUUUAGAUGUAGUUGGACGCGCGGCUAGGGUUCGGGCUUGAGCCUCUAAAUUUAGAUUAGAUUUCACAAGUUCAACGUCGGAUGUGGUUGAAACUGCAGCAGAAAAAACGCUGACGGCGAAAACCAGCGCGAGUCCGCACGGAGCCAAUUGGUCCGGAGGAUAGCGUAGCGUGGCCGGAAGCAGGGCGUCGGUGGACUUGGAGAUGACCACGUGGCCAGCGCGGGCAUUCGUUCCCGGAACGGACUCACCGAAGGAAUCUCCGUAUCUGGCCGUCUUGGAGGCAGUCGCUGUAGCUGCUGGCCCUUGAGGCUGCUGCUGCUGCUACUGAUCGCUGCUGCUGCGGCUGAUGCUGCUGCGGCUAAUUCUGCUGCGGCUGAUGCUGCUGCUGCUGAUGCUGCUGCGGCCAAUGCUGUUGCGGCUAAUGCUGCGGCGGCUGGUGGACGACGACCAGGUUAGGUCCGCCUGCAACUAAAGCAAAACCCUGACCUACACCAAAGUCGCUCGCCAUUUUCCCUCCCGCUCUCUCAAGAUGGGUCAGCGAACGUAUUCAAGGCCAUUUAACCCAGUUAACGAGCGAACCGGGCUAAAUUUAAAUAGCUAGAUCCUCUCCCGCUAUCAAUAGUCGGUGUCACCACCAAAUCUUAUCGAUAGCGGGACCUGCUGACGUAUCGGUUCGUUUCAGUAUUUUCCAGACGGCUUCAACUGAAAAUGCAACAAAAAUUUGAAGAUAAAAUAAAACAAAAACGAACAAAAAACAUCAAUUGUUUCCAUUAAGGCAAUAUUGGGCGACAGCUGAUCUUAUUUUCUCUGCCAUUUGGCUGAAAUCGGCAGGCAUAUUAGUCCGAUCUGGUUGUUCCUUCAAGUCAUUUGCAGUUAGUUGCCAGUAAUGAUGAUGCUUAUGUGUUCAUUCAAUAUAUUAUGUAGGACAAAACCUUUUCCAAUAAAUCGGAACCUAGCCUUCAAAUGGCCAAACGCAUUUUCCACCACUCGCCUAGCUUUGGACAGACUGUAAUUAAAAUUUCGCUGUCGACGGAUGCGGUUGUGAAAAUGGGUAAGGCUUCAUUAAACGGGUAUGACAUUACAUUGUUCGCCUCAUUCAUUGACGAAUUCUUUGAAGCUCAGAGACAGAGACAACUAUAAGAAUACUACUUAAGAUUUUCUGGUUAA